rnacentral:snoRNA from 1 species
CAAUGGUGAUGAUGAUAUAACUAAGGCAUGUUUCUCAAAACAUUCGCAGAUGCCGCCUAAGAGCUUUCGCCCUGCCAGGUUUGAGAGCUAAUGCUGCUAAUUCCUUCCCUAGUUUAUUUUGUUG